GACGAACGCUGGCGGCAUGCCUAAUACAUGCAAGUCGAGCGAACAGAUGAAGUGCUUGCACUUCUGACGUUAGCGGCGAACGGGUGAGUAACACGUAAGGAAUCUACCUAUAAGCGGGGGAUAACAUUCGGAAACGGGUGCUAAUACCGCAUAAUAUCUUCUUCCGCAUGGAAGAAGAUGGAAAGACGGCUCUGCUGUCACUUAUAGAUGACCUUGCGGUGCAUUAGUCAGUUGGUGGGGUAACGGCCUACCAAGACGAUUAUGCAUAGCCGACCUGAGAGGGUGAUCGGCCACAUUGGGACUGAGACACGGCCCAAACUCCUACGGGAGGCAGCAGUAGGGAAUCUUCCGCAAUGGGCGAAAGCCUGACGGAGCAAUGCCGCGUGAGUGAAGAAGGCCUUCGGGUCGUAAAACUCUGUUAUAAGAGAAGAACAAAUUGUAGAGUAACUGCUACAGUCUUGACGGUAUCUUAUCAGAAAGCCACGGCUAACUACGUGCCAGCCGCCGCCGUAA
rnacentral:rRNA from 1 species